CCUACGGGAGGCAGCAGUGAGGAAUAUUGGUCAAUGGGCGUGAGCCUGAACCAGCCAAGUCGCGUGAGGGAAGACUGCCCUAUGGAUUGUAAACCUCUUUUGUCGGGGAGCAAAAGACGCCACGCGUGGCUUUUUGCGAGUACCCCAUGAAUAAGCACCGGCUAACUCCGUGCCAGCAGCCGCGGUAAUACGGAGGAUGCGAGCGUUAUCCGGAUUUAUUGGGUUUAAAGGGUGCGUAGGCGGGGGUGCAAGUCAGCGGUAAAAUUGCGGGGCUCAACCCCGGACUGCCGUCGCAACUGCAGCCCUGGAGUGCGCGGAAGGUAGGCGGAAUGCGUGGUGUAGCGGUGAAAUGCAUAGAUAUCACGAAGAACUCCGAUUGCGAAGGCAGCAUGCCGGAGCGCAACUGACGCUCAUGCACGAAAGCGUGGGUAUCGAACAGGAUUAGAUACCCGUGUAGUC
rnacentral:rRNA from 1 species